rnacentral:ncRNA from 1 species
GUCUUGUUAAAGGAGCGAUGGUUGGCAUCUCCCUUGACAGGGUGGUCAAAUCAAUAGAAUAUGAUUUUUU